GGAUGGGUGGCAGAGUGGUCGAUUGCACCGGUCUUGAAAACCGGCAACGGGCAACCGUUCGUGGGUUCGAAUCCCACCCCAUCCGCCA
rnacentral:tRNA from 1 species